rnacentral:rRNA from 1 species
UUCUACAGCCAUAUCACCCUGAAUGUUCCCGAUCACAUCUGAUCUCAGAAAGCUAAGCAGGGUCGGGUCUGGUUAGUACUUGGAUGAGAAACCACUUUUGUUUAAC